rnacentral:rRNA from 1 species
AGCGAGACUGCCGGUAAUAAACCGGAGGAAGGUGGGGAUGACGUCAAAUCAUCAUGCCCCUUAUAACCUGGGCUACACACGUGCUACAAUGGUUGGUACAACGAGUUGCGAGUCGGUGACGGCGAGCUAAUCUCUUAAAGCCAAUCUCAGUUCGGAUUGUAGGCUGCAACUCGCCUACAUGAAGUCGGAAUCGCUAGUAAUCGCGGAUCAGCACGCCGCGGUGAAUACGUUCCCGGGCCUU